rnacentral:rRNA from 1 species
GACGAACGCUGGCGGCGUGCCUAAUACAUGCAAGUCGAACGAACCGCGACUAAGUGCUUGCACUAAGUCAAGGUGAGUGGCGAACGGGUGAGUAACACGUGGGUAACCUACCUCAUAGUGGGGGAUAACAGUCGGAAACGACUGCUAAUACCGCAUAGGACAUAGGAUCACAUGAUCCAGUGAGGAAAGGUGGCGCAAGCUAUCGCUAAGAGAUGGACCCGCAGUGCAUUAGCUAGUUGGUAGGGUAAAGGCCUACCAAGGCGAUGAUGCAUAGCCGACCUGAGAGGGUGAUCGGCCACAUUGGGACUGAGACACGGCCCAAACUCCUACGGGAGGCAGCAGUAGGGAAUCUUCCGCAAUGGACGCAAGUCUGACGGAGCAACGCCGCGUGAGUGAAGAAGGUCUUCGGAUCGUAAAGCUCUGUUGUUAGAGAAGAACAGCGCAUAGAGUAACUGCUAUGCGUGUGACGGUAUCUAACCAGAAAGCCACGGCUAACUACGUG